rnacentral:rRNA from 1 species
AUGGCUGGCUUGGAAGGUUUCGAGUUCUUCGAGAUCGUAAUUGAAAAAUCUUGCAGUAGGCAGAGGCUGCCUGACAAGUUUGCGAAGAUGCUCACCGGCCGUGAGCCCCACAAAGUGAAGCUGCGGGAGGCCGGCAGCGGGCUUCGCAGGCUGUGGGACGUGUUGGUGGUGUUCGAUGGUGAAGGCCACAUGUACCUAGGGCCCGGCUGGGAGCAGUUCGCCCGCGCCCAUGAGCUACAGCUCGGGCACUUCCUUGUCUUCCGCUACGAUGGCGACGCCAUGUUCACCGUGAAGAUGUUCGACAACACCAUGUGCCGCAUGUACUACCAGCACGACGACGAUGCCAGCAAUGGGAGCAGCAGCGGGGAUGACGAGGAGCAGCCUAUUCUGGCUAACGACGACCCUGCUAUGGUGGUGGCGGAUGACGACCUUGCUAUGGUGGUGGCUGACGAUGACCCUGCUAUGGUGGUGGCUGACGACGACCUCGCGAUUGUGGUGCCUAAUGAUGACCUCGCAAUGGUGGUGCCUGACAAUGACCUCGUCAUGGUGGUGGCGCCUGCAAUCCCACAGCUUGGCGACAGGACCAUGCCAAUUGUGGUAGAGGAGUAUAUCCGCGUUGGGAUUCGCCACUCUGAGCGCAUCAGGUUGAUGAAGGAGAAGAAGGAGGAGUGA